rnacentral:lncRNA from 1 species
UUCCAGUGCCUCAGCUUGCACAGGCAAAAGAGAUGAAGACUUUCAGUGAGUGGUAGUCCCUGUCCUGCCUUGUCCCUGCCUUGCACCAUCUCCUGUGUUAUAGCCUCCACCUCCACCUCACCUCCACCCCCAGUCAUGAGGAUGGAGUGGUUGCUAGGAUAACGGUGAGGAUGAAUCACAGAACAGGUGGGUAAACUGCAUCCCUUCUUUCCCAAAAGGUUCAGUCCCCAAGAGUUGUUUGUUUUUCCCCCUUGGAGGUGAAUGUGUGUGUGUGUGUGUGUGUGUGUGCUGUGCUGACCCUCUCCCCACAGAAGAGUGCAUCGAGGCUGGGCAUGAUGGUGAAUACCUGUAAUCCCAGUAGCUCGGGAGGCUAAGGCAGGAGGAUCACGAGUUCAAAGCCCGCCUAAGCAAAAACGAGUUGCUAAGCAACUCAGUGAGACCCUGUCUCUAAAAAGAAUACAAAAUAGGGCUGGGGAUGUAGCUCAGUGAUUGAGUGCCUCCGAGUUCAAUCCCCGGUACCCAUCCCCACCAAAAAAGAGUGCAUCAAAGUAUGGCUACUGUCGUUCUUGAUCCAAGUGGGCUGUCCAUGAUGUCAAUACCAGUCACACAGCCUGGCAUCUUAGGACUUGCUAAGGGCUCUCAGGGGAAUCCCCCCCAAAUAAAAAGCCCAUAGAAACUAAACAGACCUUAAAGCAACUUCAUUCUUUGAUGUACCCACCAACCAAACAAAUCACUUCUUAAAAAAUGCCUUGGUUUCUCAGUAAGACUGGCUUUCCCUGGCUUUGGGAUUUUAGUGUGAAAUUUCAGUAAGAAGGUAGAUGUUUUCCUGGAGAGUGUUUCCACAGGUACACACCCAUUGGGAGCUGCCUCUUAGAACAAAGAGUAAGCAAGACUGGGGAGCAGCUGGUCUUGAGAGUGAUUUGUUGAGAUGGAGGAACUACUCACCAGGGAGCGCCUAGCUGUUCUGCGUUGCGGCGUGUUCAUGGCUGUUUAAGCGCACAGGAACCCCAUAUCUCAUCUGGCUGCUCACUAAAAGCAAGCUUCCGUGAUCUAAGUGGGAAUGGAAUCUUUUGCCACCAGAAGGAGUGGCAGGAACAAAGUGUGUCCUCUGCUAAGGCUGGAAAGAGUUCCUGGAUGUCACCCAAAAGUGUCCAUACCAAGCCACUGAGUCAGAGGGACUUGGCUCUGACAGUGACUGAAACCUUG